AACGAACGCUGGCGGCAGGCUUAACACAUGCAAGUCGAACGCCCCGCAAGGGGAGUGGCAGACGGGUGAGUAACGCGUGGGAACGUACCUUUCAGUUCGGAAUAACUCAGGGAAACUUGUGCUAAUACCGGAUACGCCCGCAAGGGGAAAGAUUUAUCGCUGAAAGAUCGGCCCGCGUUGGAUUAGCUAGUUGGUGGGGUAAAGGCCUACCAAGGCGACGAUCCAUAGCUGGUCUGAGAGGAUGAUCAGCCACACUGGGACUGAGACACGGCCCAGACUCCUACGGGAGGCAGCAGUGGGGAAUAUUGGACAAUGGGCGCAAGCCUGAUCCAGCCAUGCCGCGUGUGUGAUGAAGGCCUUAGGGUUGUAAAGCACUUUCACCGAUGAAGAUAAUGACGGUAGUCGGAGAAGAAGCCCCGGCUAACUUCGUGCCAGCAGCCGCGGUAAGAGUACUCUAU
rnacentral:rRNA from 1 species